GACCAGGCUGGCCUUGAACUCACAGACACAUGUUUCUUUAGUCAUGGAUGAUGCUGAGAAAAAUUAUCUGGAGAAAAAUAUCUGAAAUGGAGGAGUUUGCUAGCAUAACCCAAUAUACUUCAAUUAAAUUUCUAAGUUUAUGCGUAAUAAACAACUGUAUCAACCCUGCAUCUUUGAAAUAAUUUUGAAAGUCCUUAAAAUGACAAUAUUUUAAAUGUUUCUUGAGUAUUUCGUCAAGGCAUUAGAAAGCAAUUUAGUUUUCUUACAAAGAUGGAGUAUAUGAGUAUCUUACAUGUUUCCAUCAGAGGGCUAGCUCAUCUCCAAGACUUCCAGGAGACAUAUUCAAGUCCGUGCAUACUGAUAAUACUGCGGAAAGGUCAGUUUUAUAGAAAAAAAUCUGACUUUAGAGAUUCUGCAGGCUGAGAGCAUGCAGCCAAUUGUCUGCAUCCCUUCCUAGACCCUCAAAUUAGGCUUUUAAAGCAGCAGGCUGCGUACUGAAGGCUUUUUGUUUGAAGGGGAAGGUAAGUGAAGAAUGGAAGAGUGCCUCAGAGGCACUUCCGGUAUUGAUGAAGAGCCUGCUUAUCGCGAUUUCCAUGGUAACCUGACGUCAUCGAGACGACGGAGGUGGGCGAAGUGAUUUUUUUUUAAAUGGAGACUUGCUUUAUCUAGUGAGAACAGCAUCCUUCCUCCACGUGCCUGUACAAAAAGAUGCAGAUGUCAGUGCCCGGUUGUGGAGGAGACAGACUUCAAGAUCCCAGACUCAAGUUGGUUUGUUCCUGUUUCUGGUUUGGUGCUUGGUUAAUUCUCUGAAUACCUCUGAGGGAGAAGAGUGAGACCCUCUUAACCCCAGAGAUUAUGCUGUCCUGAAUCCACUUUCCACGUUACAGGUUGGGCGUUCGUGAGAGCAGGACAUGUGAUGGCUCCCUCUGAGUUUAGCUUCCCCGUCUGUGACAUGAGGGUCCCGAUGCUCAUCCAUUGGAAGUCUGUCACCUUCAAUAAUAACACAUGAGCAAUCCAAAGACCCUGCCUGUGGUUAUUGUGAGAUCACCAAUCCCUAUAUUAUUCCAGGCCGCUUUAUUUUACAGUGUUAAAAACUAGCGUACAAAGUAAUGAGUUUCAAUUUUUUUUUUUUUGCAUUUUCAUGCAUUAUUUUUGGUGUGCCUCCUCCCCAGCUCCCCUCCUGGCUCUUUCCUCCAUCCUGCUGGUUCUCUUCCUUCCUCGCUCCCAACACCAUCCUUCUCUGAUUUCAUGUUUCAUAAAUUUUUAUUCUCUUUUUAUCCCCAUCUCCUACCUUAAUAUCUCCUUUCUCUCUCAUGGUUCCUUUCUCUAGUUUCAUCUCUUUUCUCUCUCUCACACACUCUCUCUCUGUCUGUCUCUGUCUCUCUUUCACACACACACACGAAUCUGCAUAUGAGAUAAAACUCAUUUUUAUUAUUUUAUUGACGACGAUGAUGAUAAUGAUGAUUACCUCCCCAGUGAUAUUUGACUUUAGGAGUCUGGCUUAUUUCAUGUAACAAUGAUCUCCAGUUCCAUUUUCCUGCAAAUAUUAUAGCUUCACUUUCCUUUAUUGUGUAUAUAUCCUACAUUUAUUUUCUCUAUUUAUCUAUUGAUGAGCAUCUAGGUGGGUAUAUACCCAAAGGACUCAAAUCUUACUGCAGAGAUAUUUGCAUAUCCAUGUUUAUCACCAUACUGUUUACUUCCUUUUUCUUUUCAGAUUUGUUGCUAGGGGACAGAUGAGCCCAAGAGAAGAAAAAGACCCCAGAAAGAAGCCCAUUGUUAUGAUCAAUACUCCAUUGUUUCAGUGCCUUUGGUUGCUCACUGGUGCAUCCAAAGUAUGCAGGGCACAUACUUAUUCCUCAAAGCACAGUGACUGCUGGAUUCAGUUUCCUUCUGGGCAGCUGUUCUUCCAGUGACUGAUCUUCAUACCAGGUGUCUUAAGGAAGCAGUGUGUAAUGAUGCUUUCUGAAGUAUCUACUCUAGAUCUGAAGUGCAGCAGUGCCCAAUAUACCCUGGCACUUCUCUCUACCUUCAGUGACACCAUAGAGCCGGAUAUGUGGUAGAAUGGCUUGCACGGGGUUCAGAAAACAGUGUGAAAGUGGAACCUACUUUGAUUUCCUCAUUGAAGAGGUGCAUCAGUUCCUGGCUCAUAAUUACCUCCCUAACGCAUGCAACAGAUUCUAGAAUUUCUCUUCCACAAGAGACAGAGAAGUCUGACAUACAAAGGGAAGAUCAAAGAAGACUGAACUUGCAGUGAUACUGCCAUAAAACCAGGAAAGCAGCAUCCACCAGGAAAGCUGCAAGAGAGGCAAAGAAGACGUCUGUUUUCUUGCUGAUACCAGAGGACUUUAUCUCCACCUCCCUAUAAAGUGUGAGCACUGUGUUUCAGCGAGCUGCAUUGCGGACUUCUGCUGAAAACUUCUGUAAACACAACUGCCUUGUUCAGUUUUGUUGUAAACUGACUCACCAUGCGAUGCACUGUCGUUGAUAGCUUCCUGAUGUGUGGUGGAUAAGAGUGAUAAAAUAAAGCUUACAAGAAAAGAAAAAAAAGCAAGAUGCUUAUAUUUGUUCCCUUCCUAUUGCUGUGAUAAAGCACAAUGACCAAGGCAACUUAGAAAAGAAAGCAAUUAAUUUGGCUUAUAGUUUGAGAGGGUUUGAGUCCAUGAUAGUGAAGCAAAGGAACAGCUGAGAGUUUACCUUCUGGUCUGCAAGCAAGAGGCCAAAGGCAAGCAGUGGGAAUGGCAUGAGGCUUCUGAAACUUCAAAACCCACCCCCAAGUUUCACACCUCCUCCACCCAGGCCAUACUGCCUAAUCCUUCCCAAAUAGUCCCACCAACUGGAGACCAGGUAUUCAAAUAUAUGAGCCUAUGGGGGCCCUUCUCAUUCAAACCACCACAGUAAUAAAAUGUUAAUUAUAGUAGAAAGGCAUUCUAAUAAGAGAAAACGCUUCUGUCAUAAUUUUCAUGAGCUUGACACAAAGACCUGUUUGUAGAUCAGACACCUGGUGCCCUCUUUAAAUGAGCUGCACACAACUGAUUAGACUGUGACAAGGUAGACUGACUUUGCAGAUUGCAUCGAUCUAUUGACAUUUCAAAUGCACCCACAAGUUCAUAUAUGCAGAACAUCUAACAGAUAGCCACAAGGAGAUUUAUGCAAGCAAGGCGUCUAGACAGUAGUUUUCAAAUAUCCAUUCAUGUAAGAUAUACAUAUGUAUAUAGUAUAUAUAUGCAUGUAUUCUCUCUCCUCUCCUCUCUCUCUCUCUCUCUCUCUCUCUCUCUCUCUCUCUCUCUCUCUCUCUCUCUCUCUCGUGUAUGUGUGUGUGUGUGUGUGUGUGUGUGUGUGUGUGUGUGUGUGUGUGUAUGUAUCUGCCUUAGCAUGUGUAUGGAGGUCAGAGGACAGCAUUGAGAGCAUGAUGGAAUCAGUUCUCUCUUUCCAUCAUGUGGGUCCCAAGGAUUGAAUUAGAUCAUCAGGAUUGUCAAAAGUGCUUUACCCACUCAUUGGCCCUGGAUCACAUUUUAAAACAGCACUAAUCUUCAUUGUACAGGCACACAGUGCCAAACAAUAUACCGGUAGUAAUGAGAGAAGUGGGGUAGAUAGGGUAUAGAUGAAAUUCAGAAACACGGUACAUGGUGAAAACUGACAAUUACACAGUAGCAGCCUGUUAAACCUGUGGACCUAUGUUGGUUAAAAAGUUUCCGGUACAGUUUUGGUGAAAUGCAGGUGUUUGGAGCCUACCCCAGACAUACUGAGUCUCUUUAUUUGAUGUUCUUUUAGUGUAUAUGAUUACUGCUUUAUACACUGGUGAUACAUUAUGUCCUGAGGAAUAAUUACAUGUUUUAUCGCAAGAUAUUUUCUUUACAAGUAUUAGAACCAUCAGUUUUUGUGAAUCAGAUGUAACAUUCGCUCUUAUAAGUGAAGGCAUGAAAAUUAGCAAUAUACAUGUUUAUUCUAUAAUUUUAGGAACUGACUUUGUUACACUUGUUGCCAUAAAAACAAGCAAAUCUCAUCACACUAUUUUGAUUACAGAUGCCUCUCUAAUUUUGCAUUAGAAAAUUACCAUUGCUAAAUUAACCACAGCCAUUUUAAACUCCUCUCCCUUACAAGCAAUUCUUGCUUUACUCUCACACUUGGCUGAUGUUUGCAUGAUUGGCCAACGUCUAGAAUGUGUGUCUCCGAGGAAGGAAGCCUGAUAGCCCUGUGGAAAUGGAUGUCAGCACAGUGGUGGGGAGAUAGAAUAUGUCAAGAAAGAAGCAGAGAGUCUCCCAUCCUGACAUUUUUAGACUUACCAGGGCAUUAAAGGGUUAAGUAGGCAAAUGCAAGAGUUCCCUUUGCUCUUCUACUUGGGAAGAACAAGAGGUCAGUUUGUGCAUCAUGAAUCAAGGCUAUCGUGCAGCAAAACAGUUUUCUAGCCCACAGUUGUGGCCCAAAGGAGUGAGCCAAAAGCACAAAUGUCAUUAGGACCCAGGAAACAGGAAGGGGGCGUGGUCUGCAGGGAAGAGCACUGUGGCCUCAUAGUCUGGGAGAACCAAUAGGCGUUCUCCCAACAUGUGGAUGAGCAUUGGUUCAGGGCUUGCCUCUAGGGCCUGUCUAGGUGUGGAUAAAGUUGUUUAUGUGUUAGAGAGCAGCUGUUCCCCCAAAUGACUACGUGUGCUGUAUAUUAGUUUUUAAAAUAUAAGUUCAAAGUGAAUAAUGCUGCAUUUUCUCAUUAUAUAAAGGGGUUCAAUAUGGUCUGCUAAUUUAGCAUUAUCAGUCCUUGUUAUAAUAGUCAAUACGCAGUAGAAAUAUUGACUAUGGGUAAUUCUAAAAAGAGUCAGUCUUUUUUUUUUUUUUUUGGUUUUUUGAGACAGGGUUUCUUUGUGUAGCCCUGUCUGUCCUGGAACUAGCUCUGUAGACCAGGCUGUCCUCAAACUCGUGGAGAUCUGCUUGCCUUUGCCUCUCAACUGUGGGAUUAAAGGCAUGCACCACCACUGCCUGGUGAGAGUCAGUGUUUAUCUUCAUGUUUUUAUUUCUGUGAUAAAAUACUAUAACCAAAAACAAGCUGAAGAGAAAAUAAUUUAUCUCUUCUUAAACAUCCAGGUAACAGUCCACCACCAAGGGAAGUCAGGGCAAGACUUUGAGCAGGACAGGAACCUGGAGGCAGGAACUAAAGUAGAAGCCAUGGAGGGGUGCUGCUUACCGGCUAGCUCCUCGUGUCUUGCUCAGCUUGAUUUCUUAGAGUACCCGGGAGCACCAGCCCAGAGGUGGCACUGCUCACAGUGAGCUGGGAUCUCCCCUAUCAGUCACUACUUACGGCCAAUCAGGUGGAGAGUUUUUCUCUAUUGAGGUUUCCUCUUCCAAAAUGACUACUUUGUGUCAAGUUGACGUUAAACUAGCCAACAGGGUCUUACUGAGUCUACUUCUAUCUCGUGUGUGUGUGUGUGUGUGUGUGUGUGUGUGUGUGUGUGUGUGUGUGUGUGUGUGCUCGAUUGACUCUAAGCCAUUGAUGUGGAUUUCUCCAGGUCUUAUUUUCAUUUGUUUUGAGGACAUGUUGAAACUAGUGGCUUGGUUUUUCCCAAAGCCUGUCCAGUACCAGCCACAAGUCCCUACUCCAGGCUUAUUUACCACAGUAGUCACACUAUUUGUAUAUACCAGUCAUGUCUUAGUUAUACUAUCUCAAACUUAUAGCAAUUUAGGAAAUAUGAUACUGUAAAAUGGAAAUUUUGGGAGAGAAGUAUAUAGUAUAUAUGUGGUACAUAUAUAACCCAGGUAUACAGAGGUAACACAUGCCUGUGUGUGGAGGUCAAUGAAGGCAUUGGUUGUUAUCUCCUGUUUCUCUCUUCAUUAUUCCUUUAAGGUAAGGUCUAAUCUCUGACUCAUAAGCUUGAUUCUUCAGCUAAACUGGCUGGUCAAUAAGUUCCAAGCAUUCGAAUGUCUCUGCCCCACAAUGCUGGGAUGAUAAGCAUGUGCAGCCAUGCCUGACUUGUUUUAUGUGGUUGCUAGGGAUUCAUAGUCAGGUUCUCAUGCUCAUACAGUAAGCACUGUUACUCACUGAGCCAUCUCCCUAGUCCCUGUAAAAUGAAAAUUUGAAAAGAAAAUAUUUUCCUGUUGCUUCCCCACUCUUUAUUGAGCAUAAAAUUGUUGUUGAAAUUUAAAUUGAGUAUUUUCAUUUUUCAUGCUCAUAUGAUAACCUGUAUAUGUUCUAGUAACAGCUUGUCCUUAUUUUAUUUGUGUGUGAUUGACAAUUUGUGUUUGCCUAAAAUAACAUAUUUGGGAAAUUGCUUAUUUAAUCAGGUAUGGGUGGCCACAACUAGCUAAUUAAGGUUCACAGAGGGGAGCCCAGUGUGGAAAACUGGCUUGGUACCCAACUUAUGUGACUUCAGAAAAUGUAAUAGAAGUUAAUUGUUAAUAGACUGGCAACUAUGAGAUUGUUUAUAAACUUUAGGAGGUAAGCUGCCAUAAACUACACACACCACUUAGGAAUUCUGGUGGAAGAGGUUGUUUUGGGUUUAUUUCCUACUAUUAGGGUCAGCAAAUAGAACCUUUACAAAACCCAGUGUGAAAAAUUCAUGGCUAGUAUACACAGUUGGGGAAAGCCUGAAAGGUUUUUCUUUGAGAUUAGAAAGAAGACAUUUGCAUUCAGAAUUUUGCUGGAAGUUAUAACCACUUCAUUUGGGCAAGCAAAAUCAAAAGCAUUUGAAUUGGAAAAGAAAACUCUUCAUAUUCAUGUGACAUGACCUAAGGUAAUCUUUAAAAAAAAUAAACUCUCAAGAUUAAAAAAAAUGCUGGCUGUGAUUGUUGUUCCAUGCUAGGACAUGUGCUUAACAUAUGCAAGGUCCUGGGUUCUUUCCAAUACACAAUAAGAUGCACCAGAUCUAUAGUCAUUGUGGUCAUGUAAAUCAAAAUUACAAUGAUACAUGAUUUCCCACUUAUUAGAAUUUCAAUUAUAAAUAGAAUACAAACACCUAAUUGCAAGUUUGGCCUAAUGUGGAGAAAUUGGAAUCUUUGUCCAUUGAUAGUAGGGAUAUAACAUGAUGUAACCACCAUGCAGACAACAGAGCAAUUCUUUUCUUAAAUAUUUAACAUGCAGGGGCUGGAGAGAUGCCUCAGAGAUUAACAGCACUUAUUGCUCUUACGGAGGACCUGGGUUGAGUUCCCAGCACUCACAUGGUGGCUCACAACCACCUGUAACACAAGUUCCAAGGGAUCUGGCACCCUCUGACCUCUGUGGGCACCUAUAUGCACCUGGCACACAUAAACUCAUUCAGGUACUGUCUUUCAUAUAUUUAUAUAUAAACUUAACAUGCAAGUAUUGUGUGAUCCACCCAUUCUAUUUCUGGGCAAAACCCUCAACAAUUGAAAGCUGGGACUUGAAUAGUUAUUAUAGAUCAAUGUUCACAGAAGCAUUAUUAACCAUAGCCCAGAACUGGAAACAAAUCAAGUGUAUACCAGUAAAUGUAAAGUGAAUGAGUAAACAAAAAGCAAUAUGUAGAUACAACAGAAUAUUACAUAGUCUUAGAAAGUAAAAAAUUCUGACAAUCCUAUAAUAUACAUGCUCCUUAACAAUACUACUCUAAAUGUAAUAAGCCAGCCAGACACCAAAGGGCAAAUACUAUAUUUAUAUGAUAUUACUUAUUUGAGAUCCUAGAUUUUUCAAAUUCACAGUGAUUGGAAGUGGUGGUUUUAGGGUAAAAGGGCCAGUGAAAGAAACCCACUCUGACCCUGAAACCAGAGCCAGUGAAAGAAACCCACCAUAGAUCUGAAACCAGAGCCUGUGGAAGAAAUCCUCUGAGAGACCAGGGAUAGAUGCAGCAUAUCCCAGCAUAAUAAGUAUUGUAUAUGACAAACCAAAAGCCACCAUGCUGGCUAGUUUUCUGUCAACUUGACACAAGCUGAAGUCAUUUGGAAAGAGAGAACUUCAACUGAGAAAACGCCCCAACCAGACUGGCCUGUAGGUAAGUCUUUAGGGCAUUUUCUUAGUUAGUGAUUGAUGUGGGAGGACUCGGCUCAUUGUAGGUGGUAUCACCACUGAGUAAGUGGUUCUGGAUUCUAUAUCAAAGCAAGAUGAGCAAGCCAUGAGGAGCAAGCCAGGAAACAGCACCCACAUGGCCUCUGCAUCAGCUCCCGUCUCCAGGUUCCUGUCCUGUUUUAGUUCCUGCCCUUUCUUCCCUCAGUGAUGUGGAACUAUAAGCUAAAAUAAACUCUUUCCUCCCCAACUUGUUUUUGAUCAUGGUGUUUUAUCACAGCAAUGGAGAGCCUAACUGAGACAGUCAAUAUUAUGUCAAAUAGAGGAAAAAAAAGCAUUCCCACUGAGAUCAAGUAGAAGACAGGAGUGUCCACUUUCACUACUCUUAUUCAGUAUAGUACUUGAAGUCCUAGCAAUAAGACAGGAGAGGGAAAUAAAAGGAAUACAAACAGGAAAGAAAGUCUACUAUCCCUGUUUACAAAUGGCAAGAUUCUGUACAUGACAGAUCCUGUAGACUCGACCAGAAAAUUCCUAGAGGUGAUAAAUUCUUUCAGCAGAGUGGCAAGUUACCAAAAUCAGUAGCCUUCCUAUAUACCAAACAAAAACAGACUGAGAAAGAAAUCAGAAAAACAAUCUUAUUCACAAUAGUCUCAAACAAAAAUACCUUGGAAUAAACCUAACCAAGGCAGUGAAAGAUCUAUACAUUGAAAACCUGAAAGCACUGAGGUAAGAAACUGAAGAAGUACUCCAGGUGUGGAGACCUCCCAUGUGUGCGGACUGGUAUGAUUGAUACUGUAAAAAUGGUCAUCCUGCCAAAAACAAAUUCAAUGAAAUCCUCAUUAGUACUUCAAUGCAAUUCUUCACAGAAAUUGAAAAAAAAGGUCUUAAAAUUAAUAAAGAAGGAACUGAUGAGAUUAUUCCGUGGUUAAGAGCACUUGCUGCUGUUGAGAGCCUGGGUUUGGUUCCCAGCACACACACAGUGACUCACAUCCACCAGUAACUCCACUUCCAGGGGAAUCAGAUGCCCUCUUCUGAUCUGUGUGGACAUCAUAUGUUACACAUGCACACAUUCAGGCAAAACACUCACACAUAUAAAAUAAAAGAAAUAAAUAUAAAAAACCCUAAAAAUUCAUAUGGAAGCCAAAAGACACCAAAUAACCCAAACAACUGUGAACAAUAAAAUAUUGCUGGAGCUAUCACCAGACCUGAUUUCAAGUUAUACUAUAGAGCCAAAGAAGUAAAAACAGGAUGGUACUGGAACAAAACCAGAGACAUUGAUGAAUGGACUAGAACUGAGGAUCCAGAAUAUAAAUAUAGAAUAUAA